UACGUAGGGUGCAAGCGUUGUCCGGAAUUAUUGGGCGUAAAGAGCUCGUAGGCGGUCUGUCGCGUCUGCUGUGAAAACUCAGGGCUUAACCCUGAGCUUGCAGUGGGUACGGGCAGACUAGAGUGCGGUAGGGGAGACUGGAAUUCCUGGUGUAGCGGUGAAAUGCGCAGAUAUCUGGAGGAACACCGGUGGCGAAGGCGGCAUCCUGGACCGGUAUUGACACUGAGGCGCGAAAGCCAGGGGAGCAAACGGG
rnacentral:rRNA from 1 species